CCCCAGUUCCCUAUCUCAGUCCUAUCCCCUAUCCCAGUGCUAUUCCCAGUUCCCUAUCCCAGUGCUAGCCCCAGUCCCAGUCCUAUUCCCAGUCCUGUCCCCAGGCCCAGUCCUAUUCCCAGUCCUAUUCCCAGUCCUAUUCCCAGUCCUAUUCCCAGUCCUAUUCUCAGUCCCAGUCCUAUCCCCAGUCCUAUUCUCAGUCCCAGUCCUAUCCCCAGUCCUAUUCCCAGUCCUGUCCCCAGGCCCAGUCCUAUUCCCAGUCCUAUUCCCAGUCCUAUUCUCAGUCCCAGUCCUAUCCACAUCCCCAGUCCACAGUCCUAUUCCCAGUCCUAUUCUCAUUCCCAGUCCUAUUCUCAGUCGCAGUCCUAUUCCCAGUCCUGUCCCCAGGCCAAGUCCUAUUCCCAGUCCUACUCUCAGUCCCAGUCCUAUCCCUUGUCCCAGUCAGUCCAUUACCUCAGCAGUACCAGUACCAGUCAGUCCAUUACCUCAGCAGUACCAGUCAGUUCAUUACCUCAGCAGUACCAGUCAGUCCAUUACCUCAGCAGUACCAGUACCAGUCAGUCCAUUACCUCAGCAGUACCAGUCAGUUCAUUACCUCAGCAGUACCAGUCAGUCCAUUACCUCAGCAGUACCAGUACCAGUCAGUCCAUUACCUCAGCAGUACCAGUCAGUCCAUUACCUCAGCAGUACCAGUCAGUCCAUUACCUCAGCAGUACCAGUCAGUCCAUUACCUCAGCAGUGCCAGUCAGUCCAUUACCUCAGCAGUACCAGUCAGUCCAUUACCUCAGCACUACCAGUACCAGUCAGUCCAUUACCUCAGCACUACCAGUACCAGUCAGUCCAUUACCUCAGCAGUACCAGUACCAGUCAGUCCAUUACCUCAGCACUACCAGUACCAGUCAGUCCAUUACCUCAGCAGUGCCAGUCAGUCCAUUACCUCAGCAGUACCAGUCAGUCCAUUACCUCAGCAGUACCAGUCAGUCCAUUACCUCAGCAGUACCAGGCCCAGUCAGUCCAUUACCUCAGCAGUACCAGUCAGUCCAUUACCUCAGCAGUACCAGUCAGUCCAUUACCUCAGCAGUACCAGUCAGUCCAUUACCUCAGCAGUACCAGUACCAGUCAGUCCAUUACCUCAGCAGUACCUGGCUACCCUACAUUAUUCAUGGCAGAGCAGAUGACAAAGGCUGCUUAAUGAACACACACACACACACACACACACACACACACACACACACACACACACACACACACACACACACACACACACACACACACACACACACACACACACACACACACACACACACACACACACACACACACACACACACACACAGGCAGACAGGCAGACACACAUGCAUAACUAGGUGA
rnacentral:lncRNA from 8 species